GAUGAACGCUGGCGGCGUGCCUAAUACAUGCAAGUCGAGCGAACAGACGAGGAGCUGUCGCCUCUGACUGUAUCAGCGGACGGGUGAUUAACACGUGGAUAGCCUACCUAUAAGACUGGGAUAACUUCGGGAAACCGUAUCUAAUACCGGAUAAUAUAUUGAACCUCAUUGUGCAAUAGUUAAAGUCGGUUGUUCUUUCACUUAUAGAUUAAUCAGCGCGGAAUUAGUUAGUUGGUAAGGUCACGGCUUAACAAGGCAACGAUGGGUAGCCGACCUGAGGGGGUGAUCCGACAGCUGGGAACAGAGAAAGGGCCGCGACUCCUGGGGGAGGACGCAGCCGGGACUCCUACGGGAUGGGGGAAAGCUUGACGGAGCACAGUGGGGUGAGUGCUGAAGGUGCUAGGCCCGUAAAGCUAUGUUAUUAGGGAAGAACAAAUGUGUAAGUAACUAUGAACGUAUUGACGGUACCUGAUGAGAAAGCCACGGCUAACUCCGUG
rnacentral:rRNA from 1 species